AAAGCUCCGCUCUGUACGAAUCCUAUUAUCUUCAAUCCCUAUAUCAACCAAUAAUAGGCAAUGAUCAGAAAUAGAGGGUGCGUUUGUUUGCUGUAAAAUGAUUUCCGGAAAACAUUUUACACCAUUUCCUGUGUUUGUUUGGGGGAAAAUGAAAUCCUUUAGUAAAAAAUUUUCCAAAACACGGUAAAAUCAAACCCAUUCCUCCGAAAAAUGUCUUACAGCUUCAAAAUUGGUAAGACAUUUUCCAUUCUUCUCUAAGCAGACAUUUUCCAUUCUCUUCUAAGCAGCAGGCAUUUUUCAUUCCUCAAAGCUUCCGCCUCUCCUCCUCAUCUCUGCUUCGUCAUCUCUGUCUCUCAGGUUCAUCUUCCUUCUCCAUCUCUCUACUCUAUAGAUCUGUCGGUGAGUCACCCAAAAGCUUUAAGUUUUUAUAAAAAUGGUGUAAAAUGUUUUUGCUGGAUUUUCCAGAAAUCGGAAAAAGGGAAGCUUUCCCUUUUAAUUUUCUUGCUAUUUUCACUAUAAAAAUCUCAACAUUUCUACCUUUAAAGCUUCAGUUAGUAGAUCUUGCUUAUUUUUGCUGAAUUAUAAUGAUAUCAGUAUUUCUGCAACAGGCUUCUUUUGUUUCUUCCUUUUGAUUUCUGAGUUUUUGAUCCACUGCCUUGAGAGAGUGAAUCUUUUUUUCUGAAGGGAUGCUUUGGGUUCAUUUAAAAAUGCAUGAAAAAGGCACCGAUGAAAUACCAGUAAAUUCUUGGUGACAGUUUAUAUUACUAGGAUUUGGAUUUUGUGUUUCUAGUGUUUGCCCUUUUUUGAGUGGAAUUGUUAUAGCUUUGAUUCCAAUUUUAGAGACCAGAUAAGAAGAGAAAAUGGAGAUAAAAAGAAGAAUAUUUGGUAUUUUUUCUUUCAUGAGAAGUUGUGAAUACACUUGGUUCGUAUAUAAACAGUGCAUGUUUUAUCUUUUCUCUCAAUUAUAAUAGCUUUUACCUUCAACUGCUUCCUUAUACCAUCUUACUUCGUUGUUUCCUUCUUGCCUACUAGUUUCACGACACUUUUCUUGAUUUCCACUAAAGCAAAAAGAUGGUCUAGCAACCAAUAUGUUUACAUACAGAGAAAAAGAAAAUCAAGAAUUUCUCCAUUUCAAUUACCCUCCCCUUCUACAAACUAUGAAUCACAACUGAUUAGGGACCCUGCCUCGGACAGAGUAUCCGACUCCUGGGUGGUUCUGGACCGCCUGGAGCUUCCUUCACCACCCAUGUCUUUCACCUUCUUUCGCCUACUUUUCUUUGAGUCUUUUGUGGUUGUCUCGAUUGUUUGGCUUGCAUAUAGGAUAGUAAUCGUGUACUUAAUAAGCAUGUAGCAGAUUAGUAGCGUCCCAUAUGGAGAUUUUAGCUUUACCAGUGGUGCACUAAAUAAUCUUUUUUUUUCAUGGAGACAGUAGAUUCUUUUAUGUUAAGCAUACUAGCAAAUAGUGUAUUCCAUUGCAAUUCCUCCUAGGCUCCUGCUAAUGAAUGAUAUGGAUGUUUGAGUUAUGCUAAUUGAAUUUCAAAUGCAGUUUAUCCUAAGGUGCUUAAUGUUUGAGAUAUGGAUUUUAAGCAAUAUUAUUUGUUUAGUUAUUUCAAGGAUAUCAUACUUUUUUGCAGGGCUAUUGAGCACCCAACUUUUUUAGCACUUACAAGACCGUUGUGUGAUCUGUAUUCACUUAUUCCUCCUCUUCUAGUUGCAACGCAUAAGAAACUCAGGAUAUGUAGAUGUUUUUGUAGUUUAUGAUAUUCUGAAUGCCGUGGGUCUUAUUUACUGGAAUAAAUUGUUAAUGCUUUUAGUCCUUUGCAUUAUAAUUGAUUCCAUGGUUUAGUUUUUGUAAAUGAGUUAAUGGAUUAAAAUGAAGUAUUGAGGUGAUUCUCCUUUGCAG
rnacentral:lncRNA from 1 species